UGGAAGAGGACUGAAAGGGGGGUCGUGCAUCAGAGAGGCAGCGACAGCGCGUAGAGCCAGAAUAUAUGUUUCACAUCUAACGCGGUGGAUUAAAGAUUUAAUUCCACCAAACCAGAGUUGGGGAUUGUUGGAACAGUUUAAAGACUAACCAAGAAGAUUUUGACUAAAAAAGCUAAGAGAGCUUGUGUAAUGUAGCAAACUCGCUGCUGGCACACAUCUCCCAGCUAGAACUACCUGAGCUGUACUGUCGGACUAUCGCCUCUUGAGGCACAAGUGGUAUUACAACACAGGACGGGCCGGGGCUAGCAGGUCCCCUGACUCUCCAGUGCAGGAAACAGUGUGUGGUUUUUGUAUUAGGGUUUUUCACUGUGAUGGGCUGGGGGACACGGUGAUAUAGAUCCAUACAAAAACCUAAGAGCAGUAAUCUGACACUCUCCCUUUCUUGUGAUGGAAAAAAAGGACAGGACAAAAUAUUUCUCAUUGGAAUAUGAGGUAACUACUGUGUUUAUCAUUUUUAAUAAGCAGCUUUGUAGUUAAAAGUCAGUUAAUUAGUAGUUUAAAGUCACAGUUAGUGCAGAGAUGUAAAUGUCAUCUUCCAGUAAAUCUUUACUCAAAGAACUGAUUAAGAAUCAACACAAAACGUGUG